CAGCCGUAAACUAUGCGCGUUAGGUGUACUGGUGACCACGAGUCACCGGGUGCCGAAGGGAACCGUGAAACGUGCCGCCUGGGAAGUACGGUCGCAAGGCUGAAACUUAAAGGAAUUGGCGGGGGAGCACCGCAACGGGAGGAGCGUGCGGUUUAAUUGGAUUUCAACACCGUAAAACUCACCAGGGAAGACUGUUACAUGAAGGCCGAGAUGAAGACUCUGCUAGAUUUCAGAGAGGUGGUGCAUGGCGUCAGUGACU
rnacentral:rRNA from 1 species